rnacentral:rRNA from 1 species
CUUUCUCCGCCGGCGACCGGCGCACGGGUGAGUAACACGUAUGCAACCUGCCCCUGUCAGGGGGACAACCCGCCGAAAGGCGGGCUAAACCCGCGUAUAUGCACCGGGGCAUCCCGGAGGCAGGAAAGGCUUCGGCCGGACAGGGAUGGGCAUGCGGCGCAUUAGGCAGUAGGCGGGGUAACGGCCCACCUAACCGACGAUGCGUAGGGGUUCUGAGAGGAAGGUCCCCCACACUGGUACUGAGACACGGACCAGACUCCUACGGGAGGCAGCAG